AUUGAACGCUGGCGGCAGGCCUAACACAUGCAAGUCGAACGAGUGGCGGACGGGUGAGUAAUGUGUGGGCAACUGCCCGUUCGAGGGGGAUCACUACUGGAAACGGUCGCUAAUACCGCCUACUAUCGGAUGAACCCAUAUGGGAUUAGCUGGUUGGUGGGGUAACGGCUCACCAAGGCGACGAUCCCUAGCUGGUCUGAGAGGAUGACCAGCCAAAUGGGAACUGAGACACGGCCCAGACGCCUACGGGAGGCAGCAGUGGGGAAUAUUGCACAAGGGGGGCAAGCCUGAUACAGCAAUGCCGCGUGUAUGAAGAAGGCCUUAGGGUUGUAAAGUACUUUCAGCGGGGAGGCGUUACCCGCAGAAGAAGCACCGGCUAACUCCGUGCCAGCAGCCGCGGUAAUUC
rnacentral:rRNA from 1 species